GUUUUUGGCAACUACACUUUGCCCUAGGCUGAGCGUCAGGCCCUAUAAAGAGGUGCUCUGCUGCACGACUGCCAUCCUCCUGGUACUCGAGUCCCAACCUCCUUUGGAGAACGUGCUCCGAAGACUCCAGAAAGAUGUCUUCUCAACAGCAGCAGUGCAAGCAGCCCUGCCAGCCCCCUCCUGUGUGCCCACCUAAGUGCCCAGAGCCGUGCCCGCCCCCAAAAUGCCCUGAGCCGUGCCCACCCCCACAGAGGCAGCAGAAAUGCCCUCCUGUGCAACCUCCUCCACCAUGCCAGCAGAAGUGCCCGCCCAAGAGCAAGUAACAGCUUCAGCAGCAUCAGGAUCUGGAAAAGAGAAGGACCAUUGGCUCGCCUGCUUCCACAGCUCCACCUUCACCUUCUCUUCCGAGCCUAUCAUGGUGGCAGAAGCGGCUCCUCCACCCUUCAGCCUGGAAAAUGCCUGUGUGACCCCUGACAGCAAAAGGGUUCCUUCCUGAGGCUGUCACACUGCUCCUCUCCGGGAGGGAGCUGAGGAAGGGCAUCCUCAGCUGUGCCAGCAUCCCAGAGCUUCAGGAGGAAGAGCAGCAGCUCUCUUCCUGGGUGCCAGCAGGGGAGGCUCUUGAUGUCUUCUGUGUCUGUCUGUCCCCUGGGCAGGGGUUUGUAUCACCUGGCAAUUGUUCCUUUUCUUCCAUUUCCUGAAUAAAGUGCCAUUUUGUGGGA